rnacentral:rRNA from 1 species
AGUGAACGCUGGCGGUAGGCCUAACACAUGCAAGUCGAACGGCAGCACAGUAAGAGCUUGCUCUUACGGGUGGCGAGUGGCGGACGGGUGAGGAAUACAUCGGAAUCUACUUUUUCGUGGGGGAUAACGUAGGGAAACUUACGCUAAUACCGCAUACGACCUACGGGUGAAAGCAGGGGAUCUUCGGACCUUGCGCGAUUGAAUGAGCCGAUGUCGGAUUAGCUAGUUGGCGGGGUAAAGGCCCACCAAGGCGACGAUCCGUAGCUGGUCUGAGAGGAUGAUCAGCCACACUGGAACUGAGACACGGUCCAGACUCCUACGGGAGGCAGCAGUGGGGAAUAUUGGACAAUGGGCGCAAGCCUGAUCCAGCCAUACCGAGUGGGUGAAGAAGGCGUUCGGGUUGUAAAGCCCUUUUGUUGGGAAAGAAAAGCAGCAGGUUAAUACCCCGCUGUUCUGACGGUACCCAAAGAAUAAGCACCGGCUAACUUCGUG